ensembl:lncRNA
CCGCGCACCGAGCCAACAUGGUGGCGGCAGCGGCAGCGCGGGGUGGAGGGGAGGCGAGGGGCAGCUCCCGAUCGGGGCCUUUCGGGGAGGGUUGCGCAGAGCCCGGCUGCCGCCUUCUUGCUUGACGCCGGUCAGGUGUGUGGCUUCAGCUCUGAGCUCUUCCGCCUGCCGUGGGAAAGGUGUGGAGAAAUUACUCUUCAACCACGCAGCCGGGGAUGUCCAGGCUUGGUGUGUUAUGGAUUUGAGUCAGACAGGACAAGGAAGGAGGAGCUGCACUCAUCUGCUGUAGCAUGUGUGGAAUACAGUGUGAGAUGCUGCUGCUGUGGUUUGCUGCUACCAGGUGCUGGGUACCAUUUCAUGACCAGUGCUUCAGGCAGGCUCAGCCUCUGUGAACUCCUCAGCUGUGCUGCGUUUCUGGUUUUCCAGGAAAAAUGCUGCUGUUAAGAGCAGGUCGUGCACUGUUGCUCAGAAGGGAAAGGAACAAACAGCAAGAGAAAAAGAAAUACGUGUUAAAGCUGACCUGAACUACUUUUGGUAUUGACAUCAGUGCUUGAGUCGUUCAGAGCCUUUAAGAGUCUUCUCACUUCACUUACCAGCCUGUGUAAUGGAACAGUUUCUGCUGACUUUGGGAGAUUUGCACAUCUACGUAUUGGUUAUACUUACUAAGUUAUUGUUGUACAUUGUGCUGACUGCCUAAGAUAGUACUGUGGAAGAAACUCUUAAUAUCACGAGAUGCAAAAUCCAAGUGAAUACAACAUUUAGACAGAGCUCUUAGGGGAUUCCACUCCAAAUUCAGUUAUUUCCCAGCACACACUGACUUUUAGCUGUUGAAUAUACAUGCUAUUCACAGAGCUUUUAUAUGUGACUUCAUAAGUGAAGUGGAGGAGGCAUAGCAAUUAUGCGCAUUGUCUUAUUAUAGUCCUUUGGACUAGCUUUCUUAAGGAGCCUUUCCCCCCCCAUCCCAUCAUCCUUGCUGUAUUCCUGUUUUCUCCUCCUCCUCAUGGCUGGCUGGUACUUCCUCUGCUCUUAGCGUGGUCCAUUCUUGUGACCUCCCGCCCGACUGAAGAUGGACAACUUCUUCAGGCCUGUGCCAAUGCCCUUUGUUGUGCGUUAAUCCCUGAUAGAUCUGAAUUUCCCAUGCUAGGUUGUUAUUAUGGCCCUAGUGUUUUGAGGAUAAUUGCCUGGGCACCAG